AUGGCUCAGGAUGAACGCUGGCGGCGUGCUUAACACAUGCAAGUCGAACGGAGUUUUUAACGGAAGUUUCGGAUGGAAGUUUAAGAACUUAGUGGCGGACGGGUGAGUAACGCGUGGGUAACCUGCCUCAUACAGGGGGAUAACAGUUAGAAAUGACUGCUAACACCGCAUAAUAUAGCGAAACCGCAUGAUUUUGCUAUCAAAUAUUUAUAGGUAUGAGAUGGGCCCGCGUCUGAUUAGCUAGUUGGUGGGGUAAAAGCCUACCAAGGCGACGAUCAGUAGCCGGCUUGAGAGAGUGACCGGCCACAUUGGGACUGAGACACGGCCCAAACUCCUACGGGAGGCAGCAGUGGGAAUAUUGGACAAUGGGGGAAACCCUGAUCCAGCGAACCGCCGCGUGAGUGAAGAAGUAUUUCGGUAUGUAAAGCUCUAUCAGCAGGGAAGAUAAUGACAGUACCUGACUAAGAAGCCCCGGCUAACUACGUGCCAGCCGCAGC
rnacentral:rRNA from 1 species